AAUGAACGCUGGCGGCGUGGAUUAGGCAUGCAAGUCGAACGCGAACGGGAAUCUUCGGAAUCCCUAGUAGAGUGGCGAACUGGUGAGUAACGCUUGGGGAACCUGCCCUUGAGUGGGGAACACGUCCGAAAGACGUAAAUUCCGCAUAACACCUCCUGCUCGCAUGUGUGGGAGGUCAAAGGUGCCCUCUGAUUCAAGGUGCCGCUUGAGGAUGGUCCCGAGUCCUAUUAGCUUGUUGGCGGGGUAAAGGCCCACCAAGGCGAUGAUGGGUAGCUGGCCUGAGAGGGUGGUCAGCCACACUGGGACUGAGAUACGGCCCAGACUCCUAAGGGAGGCAGCAGUCGAGAGGCAUCGGCAAUGGGCGAAAGCCUGACCGUGCGACGCCGCGUGGACGAUGAAGGCCUUCGGGUUGUAAAGUCCUGUCACAGGGGGGAGAACCGCACCCAGCCGAAUAAGUUGGGUGUCUGACGUUGCCCCUGGAGAAAGACCCGGCUAACUCCGUG
rnacentral:rRNA from 1 species